rnacentral:rRNA from 1 species
GGAAUAUUGGUCAAUGGGCGAGAGCCUGAACCAGCCAAGUAGCGUGCAGGAUGACGGCCCUAUGGGUUGUAAACUGCUUUUGUGCGGGAAUAACGGUCGACACGUGUGUUGAUGUGCAUGUACCGUACGAAUAAGGAUCGGCUAACUCCGUGCCAGCAGCCGCGGUAAUACGGAGGAUCCGAGCGUUAUCCGGAUUUAUUGGGUUUAAAGGGAGCGUAGGCGGGAAGUCAAGUCAGCUGUGAAAUGUAGGUGCUCAACGCCUGCACUGCAGUUGAAACUGGUUUUCUUGAGUGCGUAAGGGGCAGGCGGAAUUCGUCGUGUAGCGGUGAAAUGCUUAGAUAUGACGAAGAACUCCGAUCGCGAAGGCAGCUUGCCGGGCCGCAACUGACGCUGAAGCUCGAAGGUGCGGGUAUCGAACA